GGAGAGAUGCCAGAGUGGCCGAAUGGGGCUUCCUGCUAAGAAGUUGUCCUUUUAAAAAGGGGACCAUGGGUUCGAAUCCCAUUCUCUCCGUAA
rnacentral:tRNA from 2 species